rnacentral:sRNA from 1 species
GCUGGGUGCGGUGGCGCAUGCCUGGAAUCCCAGCGGCUCAGGAGGCUGAGGCAGGGGGAUUGUGAGUCCAAAAUCAGCCUCAGCAAUUUAUCGAGGCACUAAGCAACUCAGCGAGACUCUGACUCUA